UUCCGGUUGAUCCCGCCGGAGGCUACCGCUAUUGGAGUUCGAUUAAGCCAUGCGAGUCGAGAGUCCUCGGGACUCGGCGUACCGUUCAGUAACACGUGGGUAACCUGCCCUAUGCUGGGGAAUAACCUCGGGAAACUGAGAAUAAUGCCCCAUAGCCCACUACGCCUGGAACGGUGAGUGGGUCAAAGCCCCGGCGGCAUAGGAUGGGCCUGCGCCGUAUCAGGUUGUAGGGGGUGUAAAGUACCCUCUAGCCAUCAACGCGUACGGGUGUUGGGAGACAUUGCCCGGAGAUGGAUUCUGAGACACGAAUCCAGACCCUACGGGGUGCAGCAGGCGCGAAAACUUGGCAAUGCGAGAAAUCGUGACCAGGGAACUCCAAGUGCGUAGGGUAAGACCUACGCUUUUCUUGACUCUUCAAAGGUCUUGGAAUAAGGGGUGGGUAAGGACGGUGCCAGCCGCCGCGGUAAUACCGGCGCCUCAAGUGGUAGUCGCUUUUAUUGGGCCUAAAACGUCCGUAGCCGGUCUGGUGCAUUCGUGGGUAAAUCAACCCGCUCAACGGGUUGAAUUCUGCGAGCACGGCCAGACUUGGGACCGGGAGAGGUGUGGGGUACUCUCAGGGUAGGGGUAAAAUCCUGUCAUCCUGAGAGGACCACCUGUUGCGAAGGCGCCACACUAGAACGGAUCCGACGGUCAGGGACGAAGCCUAGGGGCACGAACCGGAUUAGAUACCCGGGUAGUCCUAGGUGUAAACGCUGUGGACUUGAUGUUGGGAGUGCUCCGAGCACCCUCAGUGUCGAAGCGAAGGUGAUAAGUCCACUGCCUGGGGAGUACGGUCGCAAGGCUGAAACUUAAAGGAAUUGGCGGGGGAGCACUGCAACCUGAGGAUUGUGCGGUUUAAUUGGAUUCAACGCCGGG
rnacentral:rRNA from 1 species